rnacentral:sRNA from 1 species
UAGAAAUAUUCACAUCUUCGGAGAUGAGGAGUAAAAUUCAGUUUUUGUCCAGUUCCUCUUUUGUGCUGCUUCUCAAUUAGCGUUUAAGAUGAUUUUUUGAAAGUUAACAUUAAUGUCUGCUUUUUGGAAAGUCAGAAUCAGAAGAUAGUCUUGGAAGCUGUUUGGAAAAGACAGUGGAGAUGAGGGCCUAGGUCAUGACUCUCCAGGCCUUCACUGUGCCACACUCACAGAUGACAGGGCUUGCGGUACCAAAGGCUCUUUAUCUUCCAGACUACAGCUCCUAUUACUG